rnacentral:rRNA from 1 species
UACGAACUGUGCAAACGUUAUUCGGAAUCACUGGGCUUAAAGGGUGCGUAGGCGGCUGUCUAAGCAGGGUGUGAAAGCCCCCGGCUCAACCGGGGAAUUGCGUUCUGAACUGGACGGCUGGAGUGGGAUAGGGGUGUGUGGAACUUCCGGUGGAGCGGUGAAAUGUGUUGAUAUCUACAGGAACUCCGGUGGCGAAAGCGGCGUGCUGGACCUUUUCUGACGCUGAGGCGCGAAAGCUAGGGGAGCAAACGGG